GAUAAACGCUGGCGGCGUGCCUAACACAUGCAAGUCGUACGUCCUUCCUUUUCGCAAGGAGAGGGAGGGAGUGGCGGACGGGUGAGUAACACAUGGGUACCUGCCUUUCAGUGAGGAAUACCGGCGAGAAAUCGCCGACAAGACCGCAUGCGCUUCCCCUUCGCAAGCAGGGGAAGGAAAGCUCCUUUGGGGGCGCUGAAAGAGGGGCCUGUGGCCGAUUAGCUAGUUGGGGGGGUAAAGGCCUCCCAAGGCGAUGAUCGGUAGCUGGUCUGAGAGG
rnacentral:rRNA from 1 species